AUGCUGGGAUCUGUCACCCUUCUUCUCACCGUCCUGCUUCCUGCUGGCCAGACAGCGCUCACCAUUGACCAGCCAAUGGUCUCCCUGACCAAAAGGACAAGGGCGUCGGCAUCAUUUCUCUGCAAGCUUUCCGACAAAAACAUCGGGCACAUCCACUGGUAUCGCCAGCAGCCCGGGAAGGCUCCCCAGCGCCUGCUCUACUGUGAAAUGGCCACAUCUCAACCCAGCCUGGAUGCAGGAUUCAGCUCCGAUCAAUUUUCUACUUACAAGAACAUAGAUUAUACCUGUAUCCUGAAAGUACGGAUGCUGAGCAUUAGUGAUGCUGGUACCUAUUACUGCGCCAGCUGGGACUCCACAGUGAUACAGGUCCCUCCACCCUUCAUACAAAAAAACCACUGUCUGUGGUCACGAGGAGCAAGGCCUCCCCCGCAACAGUUCUGGCAGUGA